UCCGAAUUGGUGUAGUGGCUAACAUCGCUGUCUCUCAUUGGGUCUCCCAAGAAGUACACAGCAGCCAGGGGUUCGAUUCCCCUAUUCGGAA
rnacentral:tRNA from 1 species